CGCACAGGUGCUGCAUGGCUGUCGUCAGCUCGUGUCGUGAGAUGUUGGGUUAAGUCCCGCAACGAGCGCAACCCUUGUCAUUAGUUGCUACGAAAGGGCACUCUAAUGAGACUGCCGGUGACAAACCGGAGGAAGGUGGGGAUGACGUCAAGUCCUCAUGGCCCUUAUGGGUAGGGCUUCACACGUCAUACAAUGGUGCAUACAGAGGGCUGCCAACCCGCGAGGGGGAGCAAAUCCCAGAAAGUGCAUCGUAGUCCGGAUUGCAGUCUGCAACUCGACUGCAUGAAGUUGGAAUCGCUAGUAAUCGCGGAUCAGCAUGUCGCGGUGAAUACGUUCCCGGGUCUUGUACACACCGCCCGUCACACCAUGGGAGCGGGUUUUACCAGAAGUGGGUAGCCUAACCGCAAGGAGGGCGCUUACCACGGU
rnacentral:rRNA from 1 species